rnacentral:lncRNA from 1 species
GCUUUCCAAAACACAAUUCGAAAAAUGAAAAAAUAGGGGGGCCAAAAACAAGCCUUAUCGUACCUUGUCCUUUCCACGACAUUACACACAUUUUAUCUCUCCAAGGUACAUGUUCAAAGGCAAUAACUAUGAAAUAAAAUGCUUCGCUGACGGCAGCGUGAUACAGCCUCAGAGGUAAAAAAAAAAUAUGAACCCCUUUUAAAAUUGGGACACCCCCUUGGAGUUAUUGCCCCUAAACUCAAUCCCAGCAUUCCCUUUGUAGUAUGGAACCUUGUAGAUCAGUUAAAGAAAGUUCCAUAAACUUACACAAGUUAUUGUCUGGAAACUACAAAAGUGCACAUUGUAGGCCCCCUUUUCCUAAACUAAUGAUACCCUUACCCUCAAAAUCAAUCCCAAUCUUCCUUGCAUGAUAUUGAACCUUCUUGUAUAAAUUCAAAUUUAUUCAUUUAUAAACUAAAGUUGUCGUCUGGAAACCAAAUCAUUCUUAAGAUGAUGACGCAGACUAUGACAUCAUAGCAUUAUUCGAACCAAUAAAAAAUAUUUGCAAGAAUUGUACAUGGGACACCUCUAACAAGCACAGACAGACCCUUCACUAGCUAUAGGGAUCAAUUAAAGUUCACAUGAAUAAAUUGAAUGAGGUUGAAUUAUUCACUUGCAAAUGAAUAAUCUAUUUGCAAUGUUUCUUUGCUUAUUUUGUAGCAUGAACCAAAC